rnacentral:rRNA from 1 species
ACCCGCUGAACUUAAGCAUAUCAAUAAGCGGAGGAAAAGAAACCAACAGGGAUUGCCCUAGUAACGGCGAGUGAAGCGGCAACAGCUCAAAUUUGAAAUCUGGCGUCUUUGGCGUCCGAGUUGUAAUUUGCAGAGGGCGCUUUGGCAUUGGCAGCGGUCCAAGUUCCUUGGAACAGGACGUCACAGAGGGUGAGAAUCCCGUACGUGGUCGCUAGCCUUUACCGUGUAAAGCCCCUUCGACGAGUCGAGUUGUUUGGGAAUGCAGCUCUAAAUGGGAGGUAAAUUUCUUCUAAAGCUAAAUACUGGCCAGAGACCGAUAGCGCACAAGUAGAGUGAUCGAAAGAUGAAAAGCACUUUGGAAAGAGAGUUAAAAAGCACGUGAAAUUGUUGAAAGGGAAGCGCUUGCAGCCAGACUUGCCUGUAGUUGCUCAUCCGGGUUUUUACCCGGUGCACUCUUCUAUAGGCAGGCCAGCAUCAGUUUGGGCGGUUGGAUAAAGGUCUCUGUCAUGUACCUCUCUUCGGGGAGAACUUAUAGGGGAGACGACAUGCAACCAGCCCAGACUGAGGUCCGCGCAUCUGCUAGGAUGCUGGCGUAAUGGCUGU